rnacentral:rRNA from 1 species
UACGAAGGGGGCGAGCGUUGUUCGGAUUUACUGGGCGUAAAGGGCGCGCAGGCGGUCUUGAAAGUCAGGCGUGAAAGCCCCGGGCUUAACCUGGGAAUUGCGCUUGAUACUCUGAGACUGGAGUACGGGAGAGGAGAGUGGAAUUCCCAGUGUAGAGGUGAAAUUCGUAGAUAUUGGGAAGAACACCAGUGGCGAAGGCGACUUACUGGACACAUAUUGACGCUGAGGUGCGAAAGCGUGGGGAGCAAACAGG